rnacentral:lncRNA from 1 species
CAUAAAUAUAUUGUCUAUGUUAAUACACGAUUAAUUAUAUACAAAUUUUACAACUGCGGAGUCACUAACUAAUAGAUAUACAUAGAUUUUUAUACAUCUAGACACAUAGCAAAAUAUUUAUUGGUCUAGGAAAAUUUUCUUUAUAGCUCUGCGACGAAGGAACAUAGCUUAACCGAAUUAAAGAGAAACUUACUUCCUGAAAAAUUUAAACAAGACAUGUGAGUUUUCUAAGGAGUAAUAAUUAUUGCACAACACACGCAGUCACACAAAUAUGUAAACAUAUCAAUCUAGUCAUCCGACUAGUUAUAUGCUCACGCAGCCAGUCACACAAAUGGCAUAUCANNN